CUGCAGCCCGAGUAGUGACCGUUAUUAUUGGGCCUAAAACGUCCGUAGCCUGUUUGGUAAAUGCUUGGGUAAAUCGUGUGGCUUAACCAUACGAAUACCGGGUAGACUGCCAGACUUGAGACCGGGAGAGGUUGGAGGUACUCCUGGGGUAGAGGUGAAAUUCUGUAAUCCUGGGGGGACCACCAGUGGCGAAGGCGUCCAACCAGAACGGGUCUGACGGUGAGGGACGAAGCCCUGGGGCGCAAACCGGAUUAGAUACCCGAGUAGUCC
rnacentral:rRNA from 1 species